rnacentral:rRNA from 1 species
UACGUAGGGGGCAAGCGUUAUCCGGAAUUACUGGGUGUAAAGGGAGCGUAGACGGUGAUGUAAGUCUGGAGUGAAAGGCGGGGGCCCAACCCCCGGACUGCUCUGGAAACCAUGUGACUGGAGUGCAGGAGAGGUGAGCGGAAUUCCUAGUGUAGCGGUGAAAUGCGUAGAUAUUAGGAGGAACACCAGUGGCGAAGGCGGCUCACUGGACUGUAACUGACGUUGAGGCUCGAAAGCGUGGGGAGCAAACAGG